rnacentral:rRNA from 1 species
AACGAACGCUGGCGGCAGGCCUAACACAUGCAAGUCGAACGCCCCGCAAGGGGGAGUGGCAGACGGGGUGAGUAACGCGUGGGAACGUGCCCUUCGGUUCGGAAUAACUCAGGGAAACUUGAGCUAAGUACCGGAUACGUCCGUAAGGAGAAAGAUUUAUCGCCGAAGGAUCGGCCCGCGUCGGAUUAGCUAGUUGGUGAGGUAACGGCCACCAAGGCGACGAUCCGUAGCUAGGUCU